CGGAGAGGGAGCAUGAGAAACGGUCACUUCAUCUAAGGAAGGCAGCAGGCGCGCAAAUUACCCAAUCCUUACACAGGGAGGUAGUGACAAGAAAUAACAAUACUGGUCGUUUUCACGUCCGGUAAUUGGAAUGAGUACAAUUUAAAUCCCUUAACGAGGAACAAUUGGAGGGCAAGUCUGGUGCCAGCAGCCGCGGUAAUACCAGCUCCAAUAGCGUAUAUUAAAGUUGUUGCAGUUAAAAAGCUCGUAGUUGGAUUUCUGGUGCUCAUGCCUGGCCCGAUCCGGUUUCGGAUCGAGUGCCGGUGCGUGGGUACCAUCCUUCCGGAGAACCAGUCUGCGCUUCAUCGCGUUGGACUUGGAGCUCUGGAUCGUUUACUUUGAAAAAAUUAGAGUGUUCAAAGCAAGCUUACGCUUCUGAAUACAUUAGCAUGGAAUAAUAGAAUAGGACUUCGGUCUUAUUUUGUUGGUUCUGAGGACUGAAGUAAUGAUUGAUAGGGAUAGUUGGGGGUGCUAGUAUUCAGCGGCCAGAGGUGAAAUUCGGGGAUUCGCUGAAGACUAACUUAUGCGAAAGCUUAUGCCAAGGAUGUGUCCAUCGAUCAAGAACGAAAGUUGGGGGAUCGAAGACGAUCAGAUACCGUCGUAGUCUCAACCAUAAACGAUGACGACCCGGGAUUCGAAAACGUUGUUUUGACCUUUCGAGCACCGUGUGAGAAAUCACAAGUCUUUGGUCUUUGGGGGGAGUAUGGUCGCAAGGCUGAAACUUAAAGGAAUUGAAGGAAGGGCAC
rnacentral:rRNA from 1 species